rnacentral:rRNA from 1 species
AUACGUAGGUGACAAGCGUUAUCCGGAUUUACUGGGCGUAAAGGGCGUGUAGGCGGUCUUGCAAGUCAGAAGUGAAAUUCCUGAGCUCAACUCGGGCGCUGCUUCUGAAACUGCAGGACUUGAGUGCUGGAGGGGAUAGCGGAAUUCCUAGUGGAGCGGUAAAAUGCGCAGAUAUUAGGAGGAACACCGGUGGCGAAGGCGGCUAUCUGGGCAGUGACUGACGCUGAGGCGCGCAAGCGUGGGGGGCAAACAUGAUUAGAUACCCUGUGAGUCCACGCCGUAAACGAUGAAUGCUAGGUGUAAGAGGUAUCUUCCCCUUUUGUGCCGGAGUUAACACAAUAAGCAUUCCGCCUGGGGAGUACGGCCGCAAGAUUGAAACUCAAAGGAAUUGGCGGGG